rnacentral:rRNA from 1 species
AGAGUUUGAUCCUGGCUCAGGAUGAACGCUGGCGGCAUGCCUAAUACAUGCAAGUCGAACGAGAGGAAGGAAAGCUUGCUUUCCUAAAUCUAGUGGCGAACGGGUGAGUAACACGUAGGUAACCUGCCCAUGUGCCCGGGAUAACUUCUGGAAACGGAUGCUAAAACCGGAUAGGUAGCAGACAAGCAUUUGACUGCUAUUAAAGUGGCUAAGGCCAUGAACAUGGAUGGACCUGCGGUGCAUUAGCUAGUUGGUGAGGUAACGGCCCACCAAGGCGACGAUGCAUAGCCGGCCUGAGAGGGCGGACGGCCACAUUGGGACUGAGACACGGCCCAAACUCCUACGGGAGGCAGCAGUAGGGAAUCUUCCACAAUGGACGCAAGUCUGAUGGAGCAACGCCGCGUGAGUGAAGAAGGUUUUCGGAUCGUAAAGCUCUGUUGUUGGUGAAGAAGGAUAGAGGCAGUAACUGGUCUUUAUUUGACGGUAAUCAACCAGAAAGUCACGGCUAACUACGUGCCAGCAGCCGCGGUAAUACGUAGGUGGCAAGCGUUGUCCGGAUUUAUUGGGCGUAAAGCGAGCGCAGGCGGAAUGAUAAGUCUGAUGUGAAAGCCCACGGCUCAACCGUGGAACUGCAUCGGAAACUGUCAUUCUUGAGUGCAGAAGAGGAGAGUGGAAUUCCAUGUGUAGCGGUGGAAUGCGUAGAUAUAUGGAAGAACACCAGUGGCGAAGGCGGCUCUCUGGUCUGCAACUGACGCUGAGGCUCGAAAGCAUGGGUAGCGAACAGGAUUAGAUACCCUGGUAGUCCAUGCCGUAAACGAUGAGCGCUAGGUGUUGGGGACUUUCCGGUCCUCAGUGCCGCAGCAAACGCAUUAAGCGCUCCGCCUGGGGAGUACGACCGCAAGGUUGAAACUCAAAGGAAUUGACGGGGGCCCGCAC